GGAAAAAUAGUAGAAGGAACAAUCCUUAAAUUAAUCCUGUAAUUUGUUGGAUUACAAUUCAUAAGUCUCGUAGCCCAAACAGGCAAGUUCUAUACAUGAAUCUGCAACAGAUCUGCUGCUGCUCCCCACACUAAUAGGCACUCACAUGCGAAUGGGCAUGUAGCCCAGUGGUUACAAAUGCCUCAGUAGCACUUGAGGUACUGGGUUCGACUCUUUAUUGGAGCGAAUUUUUCAGGAUUCUAACAGCUUUGUGCUUUCAGUGGGAGACGACGUUCCCAACUCAAUGAUUAGGAUGGUGUCCAUAACCUUAAAUAAGUUGACAUCUAGGAUGAAAUAUGAUGUGGCAAGUGAAUAAAUAAGGAAAGAGAAUGAAACCAUGUCUUGCAUGAGACAUGGUUUCUACACAGCAUCCAAGAUAUCAUGUGAGAUAAAUAGCAUUGGAAGAGUAGUGUCUAGUACUAGUUUCUUGAUAAUGUGGAGUUUAUGAAAACUACAUCCAGUGUUAUAGGUUGGGAAUACACUAAUUAGGUCGAUAGGGGCACGUCACGAUUGCUCAAACGAUAUAUAUCCUGAUGGCUGACGCUUUAUUGAUCGCUUCAUUAAUUACGACUAAUUCAUUUCGUUAAGUGUGAACGUAAUGCGUUGUUUUA
rnacentral:lncRNA from 1 species